UACGUAGGGUGCGAGCGUUGUCCGGAAUUAUUGGGCGUAAAGGGCUCGUAGGCGGUCUGUCGCGUCGGGAGUGAAAACUCAGGGCUUAACCCUGAGCCUGCUUCCGAUACGGGCAGACUAGAGGUAUGCAGGGGAGAACGGAAUUCCUGGUGUAGCGGUGGAAUGCGCAGAUAUCAGGAGGAACACCGGUGGCGAAGGCGGUUCUCUGGGCAUUACCUGACGCUGAGGAGCGAAAGCUAGGGGAGCGAACAGG
rnacentral:rRNA from 1 species